rnacentral:miRNA from 1 species
CAAAUUUUCUAAGUGGGCUAGC